GACGAACGCUGGCGGCGUGCUUAACACAUGCAAGUCGAACGGAAAGGCCCUGCUUUUGUGGGGUGCUCGAGUGGCGAACGGGUGAGUAACACGUGAGUAACCUGCCCUUGACUUUGGGAUAACUUCAGGAAACUGGGGCUAAUACCGGAUAGGAGCUCCUGCUGCAUGGUGGGGGUUGGAAAGUUUCGGCGGUUGGGGAUGGACUCGCGGCUUAUCAGCUUGUUGGUGGGGUAGUGGCUUACCAAGGCUUUGACGGGUAGCCGGCCUGAGAGGGUGACCGGCCACAUUGGGACUGAGAUACGGCCCAGACUCCUACGGGAGGCAGCAGUGGGGAAUAUUGCACAAUGGGCGGAAGCCUGAUGCAGCAACGCCGCGUGCGGGAUGACGGCCUUCGGGUUGUAAACCGCUUUCGCCCGUGACGAAGCGUGAGUGACGGUAAUGGGUAAAGAAGCACCGGCUAACUACGUGCCAGCAGCCGCGGUGAUACGUAGGGUGCGAGCGUUGUCCGGAUUUAUUGGGCGUAAAGGGCUCGUAGGUGGUUGAUCGCGUCGGAAGUGUAAUCUUGGGGCUUAACCCUGAGCGUGCUUUCGAUACGGGUUGACUUGAGGAAGGUAGGGGAGAAUGGAAUUCCUGGUGGAGCGGUGGAAUGCGCAGAUAUCAGGAGGAACACCAGUGGCGAAGGCGGUUCUCUGGGCCUUUCCUGACGCUGAGGAGCGAAAGCGUGGGGAGCGAACAGGCUUAGAUACCCUGGUAGUCCACGCUGUAAACGGUGGGUACUAGGUGUGGGGUCCAUUCCACGGGUUCCGUGCCGUAGCUAACGCUUUAAGUACCCCGCCUGGGGAGUACGGCCGCAAGGCUAAAACUCAAAGGAAUUGACGGGGCCCCGCACAAGCGGCGGAGCAUGCGGAUUAAUUCGAUGCAACGCGUAGAACCUUACCUGGGUUUGACAUGGAUCGGGAGUGCUCAGAGAUGGGUGUGCCUCUUUUGGGGUCGGUUCACAGGUGGUGCAUGCCUGUCGUCAGCUCGUGUCGUGAGAUGUUGGGUUAAGUCCCGCAACGAGCGCAACCCUUGUUCACUGUUGCCAGCACGUUAUGGUGGGGACUCAGUGGAGACCGCCGGGGUCAACUCGGAGGAAGGUGGGGAUGACGUCAAGUCAUCAUGCCCCUUAUGUCCAGGGCUUCACGCAUGCUACAAUGGCUGGUACAGAGAGUGGCGAGCCUGUGAGGGUGAGCGAAUCUCGGAAAGCCGGUCUCAGUUCGGAUUGGGGUCUGCAACUCGACCUCAUGAAGUCGGAGUCGCUAGUAAUCGCAGAUCAGCAACGCUGCGGUGAAUAAGUUCCCGGG
rnacentral:rRNA from 1 species